rnacentral:lncRNA from 1 species
ACUCUUAAAUAAAGAUGCUUGUGGGUGCUUGAUUUCAGAUUAUAAGGUGUCAAUAGUGAUUUGGGUUUUGCUGUUUUGAGUAAUAAUUCACAGAGCAUAGUAGCUGUAACACAUUAAGAAAAACACGCUAUUUAAGAAUAUAGAAAUGUUUUGCUAUGCAUAAGACUUUGUUCCAUGUACUAAACUGUUAUCCUGUCUUUAACCAUAUCGUAACAUAUUUCUGCUUUCUUUGGACAGAUUUAGGUUGCAACGAUAUGUCUCAGCCAGCUGGGGUUUCAUUUUUCACCUCUAGCAAGGGCUAUGCUACCGAAAUUAAAGCAAAAAUGAACUACAAACCGAAAGAAAGAAAGCGGAUACAAUUGAGGUCAGUAGCGGGUGAUCAUUGUAUCAGGUAGGUGCAAUUAUUGCGAAACAGCAUAUUGUUGCAAUUUUGGAAACAAUGACAUUGCUUCAGUCAACAAUAUAAAAUUCGUUGCUGAAACUGCUACCUUAUUCUCAUAGCAAACACUAUUAGGGAUGAGAAUCUGCCAAUAGGGUAGCCUCGAGUCCUUUUUCCUGUGGAAGUUAAAACAAUAGCUAUAUAUUUGUGAAGAGAUUAUUAAUCAGUUAUGCUUAAAUUUCGAAUUUCAACUCUGCUCAAUCCUGUACUCGGCCCACUUGUCUUUAUAUGAUGUUAAUAAAAUGAACCUAGCAUUCAGUUCGGGUGUUAGGUUUUCAUAUGUUCUUGUAGAUUUACCGAUGCGUAAUUUGUUAUAGUAUGAGCUUGUCUGGUAUCAUGAUUGGCAAUGUGAUAUUUUUCAUAUGUUUUAACCAAUUCCUAAUUGGUUAUGGUAUGAGUUUCAUGCUUGGCAAUAUGAUAAUGUGAAUAUUAAUUAUCUACUUAAUACUCAGAUAUCUCUCAAUUUUUUGAUGAGAAAUAUAUCAACAGCAGUAGUAACAAACAAGUAUUAUGAUGUGAUUAAACUGAUCUGGAUGCCUCUAAUCCCUGUUUUGUAAAAAACUGCUCCAUGGUCUACUGAAAUGAUAAAAUUACAUAUUGUUCCCUUCUGCACUUUUCUUCUGUUUCAAAUUUUGAUGCAUGCCUGCUCACCGAUAUUUUUCCUGAUAUACUAGGUUUACACAAACCAAGCAAUGAUCGCUUUUGUGACACAGAUCACCAACCAAUAUGCUAGGAACAUACUAGGAACUUUCUACUGAGCUGCCUCAUCAGCCCAAAGAUCUUACAGAUCGGAAAAGAUUUUGUAGGGGUUCACGAGCUAAUUGGCAUGAAGAAACGGUUGGAAAAGGGAAAACACCGGUGAAGUUAGGAACAUGCCAUUAGGAGGGGUAAGCCCAAAGUUGUAGGUCCAGUCUCGAUUUUUCUAAGAGUACUGACGGAAGGGGGCAAGAAAUGCUUGCUUAAUCUGUGAAGAAAUGUUAACUUAAACUCGAGGGGAGGGUGAAUUCUGCUGCUGGCCAGAUGAGAAGUGCACUCCAGCCAAAGAUUCAUUGUGCUCACCAGCAUUGCUCUUUUGGCCAUCAAGAACUGUUGCAUACUCUGCGGGAUCAAUGACCUCAAAAUAUAUGUUCAAGUUUUUUGCUUGAUCCUCAAAGUUUUCUUUGCUUUCCCAAAGCAAUUGGUAAUCACUUUCAAGAAGCAGUUCAAGGUCAGCCUCCUGGUCCUUCACUAGCUUCACAGGAUCGAGUACAAUGCCAUUCUGAGCCUCUUGACCAUUCCCCUCCUUGCCUAUUUUGUUCUUCACCAUGCUCUUCUUUCUUUUCUCUUCAGAUUGCACGGGAUGUUGAGGCCCAGUGCUUGCAGUAUAGUGCAGAGACUGAGCAAGUGGAGAACCAAAAUUCUUUCUGUUUCCAGCUACAUUUCUUGUCAUAAAUGCAUUUGCACCAGGAUCAGACAAAGCAUCUGGUGAACUUAACCGGAACUGGAUAGAAUCUAUUGGGCUUCGCACCAUGAACUUUUCCUGAACACCACAGAAAUAUAAUAACACUAUUAAGGUUUGAGAAAGUCAUGGAAUCAGGUUCACACCAAGUUGAUAAAAUUAUUUACUGACCUCAUCAAAAAACCCGUGCCUGGGUGAUGGCUUGCGGAGGCCUGAAGGCUUGGAACUUGUUGGUGUUCCUCCAAAUGAUGAAAAUGAUUUACUGACAUCGUCAAAAAACCCAUGCCUAGGUGAUGGCAUGCGGAGGCCUGAAGUCUUGGAACUGCCUGGUGUUCCUACUUGAUUUUUGGGAAUUUUUAGGUCCUCCGGGAUUCUUGUUAAUAAUUAUUUUGUGAUUAGCUGAAUACUUUAUCACUUUACUACUUUGUAAUGUAAUAAUUGUUUUGAUAAAUAAUUAUGAUAUAAAUUGUUAAGGAUUAACACUCACUUUAAAAUUUCCUCUUAAUUCAAAACCAUCAAUGUUGUGAUUCUUGUACAUCAGUUCUGAUACCACUUGUUAGUCAACAACGCUUAUUAACUCCAUAUUAGUAUGAUAUUGUUUUAUGACGGCUUAUAUUGAGAAAAAUCUUUAUUUUUACGAUACGAGACUUGAGUUGACACUCCCUCGAGGUAGGAGUGGCACUGCCUUGCCCGGAGUGGCAUUGCCAUGCCCGCAUGGUUGGGGAAGCCCACAAAAGUAGGCGGGCAUCAACUGAGCAAGGUGAUGAACAUAUUUCAACAGUGACAUGUUUGCAAUAUGUAUGACAAUUUGCAGUUAGAUUUUCUCACUGUGAAAAUGAAAGCUGAGAAUCAUAUCAUUUGUUCAUCCGAUUGCUUUGUCUUUUCCUUUAAAUGGUCAGACCUUUUGGGAUGAUCAUUAACAAAUCAUAUGGCUCUUGAAAAUUGCGGCUGUACUGCAUCAUUAUUAAUAUUAUUAUUAUAUAUUUUAUAAAAAUAUAAAAAAUAAUAGACGUACACAUAUUUUUAGAUAUAGUUAAAUUUAUUUAUUUUUUAAGUUAAAAUAUAAAUUUAAUAUUCUUAUAAAUGAGCAAAGUUUAAGAAUAAUAAUUUUAAAUAUGUGUCAAUACUCUUAGAAAAAUUAUCAAAAAUUAAAACGUAAAUUACUUUAAAAACUGGGCGAGUACAGGACAGUAUUAAUGUUGUAAUAAUCUAUUUCGGAUUCAAACAAUGCUGAAGUCUAAACUCUAAAAUGCUAAUAGAAAUGACGAGAUCUCAAAAACAAACAGUAGAAAUUUCUUUAUUUAUUUACAGGAAAAUAUUUUUCUAACAAAUAUUUCUUAUUUUACAGCGUUUGUUUUCCGGAUAAUAUUUUUCUGAAGUCAAACAAACACAUAAAAAAAGGAAGAAAUUCUGAACACAUCUCUCAAAAAAUUAUACUUCAUAAAAAAUUUCCGAAAAUCAACUUAUUUUUAUUUUCCUUGCAGAUUUGAGAAAUCAGAGGGCGUUUAUUCGUGGGCCUGCUGUAAUAAUACAGAACAGAACAAAAUUUGUUUGGAGCUAAAUAGAAGGCGCAUGGGCCAAGUUGCAGUAUAGAGUGGGCUUCAUUUGUAGGGUAAAGCCCACAAAUCUUGCAAAAUAUGGUCGCAUUUGUUGACAUUCCAGAGGCAGUUGCUAAGUAAUACUCUACUUACUAGUUUGUUUUUACUAUAUUUCAAUUAACAAAAGCAUGCAUACUCUAUUUUCAACAAAUUUUUCUAUAAAUUGGCUGAAAUGCAGAUGAAAAUUCCAUGCAAACCAGUUCUAACUCAACAUAGGAACCUUUCAGUACUGUCCAACAUCCAUUUCAUUUUACUACUCUACUAAAACUCUAGCUAGUUAAUCAAGCAAUGGCCCGAAAAUACGCAGUUGCUGCUGCCUUGGUUUUGCUCUUUGUUGGCCUGAUGGCGCCUCCUGCUGCUGCUGCCCGGAAUCAGGAUGGUCUCUUAAGCGGUAUUUUAGGGAGUGGUGGGCGUUUGUUGAAUAUCCAAGGGAUACUUUACUGUACCCUCAAUGGCACUACUGGUCUCCUUGGCUCUGCCACACCAGUGUUCUCCGGUGAGCACUCCUACCAUCAUAAUUAAGUUCCUCAGAUAAUUAACAUGUAUCUUUUGCAUAUGAGGUCAGAUCCAGUAUACUUGUUUUUUAUUUGUUCUGCACUGACUUCGGGUCCUGACAAACGUAUGUUGCAGCAGACAUACCUUACCUAAUUACUUAUUAGGUAAGGUAUAGUGUAACAAACUAACAAUACAGGAGGGUCCGGGUCCACUUAUUAAGCAUGCUGCAACAUACGUUUGCAGUGUACCUGUAACGUUUUCAUAUGAUGCAUAAACUUGCUAGUUGUUACUAGAAAAAUGUAUUUAAUGUAUAAACAUCCCAUGCAAAUGCAGGUGCUGUGGUUCAAUUAAAGUGUGCAGCUGGAAAUAUAGUUUCGAGUACAACAACAGAUGCCAAUGGUGCAUUUUCCAUACUCUUGAAUCCACUUCAGUUUGUUCUGUCAAAUGUCCUACAGCAAUGCAAAAUAGUCGUCCCUACGCCACUCUCCAACUGCGACUCCACUCUCCCAGCCGUUGGAGGUCUGGUCUCCCAAUUACAGAUUGUUGGAAGUAUUCUUCUUGGCCUUCUCAACGUUCUAAAUGUGAUCCCGUCAGGUUUCAGUUUCUACCAGGUGCUCUGAUGAGCUACGCACAAUUACAAAGUGUUGCGAAUAUUAUCAAUAUAUCAUAUCCAUGAUGAAGUUGUAAGAAUUACUCUGUACUUUAUGAUAUCUGCCAACAGCAAUAAAACAAAAUAAAUUGGCUUACCGAAUCAUUGUCAUUGUAGUAUUGCACGCCUUGUACAUGUUCAUCUGAUGAAUAUCUUGGUCGAAGCAUGAACUAUAGACCAUGAGACCUCAUCAGCAAUCGAGCCUGCAGCUUCUCAAAAAAAAAAAAAAAAANNNNNNNNNNNNNNNNNNNNNNNNNNNNNNNNNNNNNNNNNNNNNNNNNNNNNNNNNNNNNNNNNNNNNNNNNNNNNNNNNNNNNNNNNNNNNNNNNNNNNNNNNNNNNNNNNNNNNNNNNNNNNNNNNNNNNNNNNNNNNNNNNNNNNNNNNNNNNNNNNNNNNNNNNNNNNNNNNNNNNNNNNNNNNNNNNNNNNNNNNNNNNNNNNNNNNNNNNNNNNNNNNNNNNNNNNNNNNNNNNNNNNNNNNNNNNNNNNNNNNNNNNNNNNNNNNNNNNNNNNNNNNNNNNNNNNNNNNNNNNNNNNNNNNNNNNNNNNNNNNNNNNNNNNNNNNNNNNNNNNNNNNNNNNNNNNNNNNNNNNNNNNNNNNNNNNNNNNNNNNNNNNNNNNNNNNNNNNNNNNNNNNNNNNNNNNNNNNNNNNNNNNNNNNNNNNNNNNNNNNNNNNNNNNNNNNNNNNNNNNNNNNNNNNNNNNNNNNNNNNNNNNNNNNNNNNNNNNNNNNNNNNNNNNNNNNNNNNNNNNNNNNNNNNNNNNNNNNNNNNNNNNNNNNNNNNNNNNNNNNNNNNNNNNNNNNNNNNNNNNNNNNNNNNNNNNNNNNNNNNNNNNNNNNNNNNNNNNNNNNNNNNNNNNNNNNNNNNNNNNNNNNNNNNNNNNNNNNNNNNNNNNNNNNNNNNNNNNNNNNNNNNNNNNNNNNNNNNNNNNNNNNNNNNNNNNNNNNNNNNNNNNNNNNNNNNNNNNNNNNNNNNNNNNNNNNNNNNNNNNNNNNNNNNNNNNNNNNNNNNNNNNNNNNNNNNNNNNNNNNNNNNNNNNNNNNNNNNNNNNNNNNNNNNNNNNNNNNNNNNNNNNNNNNNNNNNNNNNNNNNNNNNNNNNNNNNNNNNNNNNNNNNNNNNNNNNNNNNNNNNNNNNNNNNNNNNNNNNNNNNNNNNNNNNNNNNNNNNNNNNNNNNNNNNNNNNNNNNNNNNNNNNNNNNNNNNNNNNNNNNNNNNNNNNNNNNNNNNNNNNNNNNNNNNNNNNNNNNNNNNNNNNNNNNNNNNNNNNNNNNNNNNNNNNNNNNNNNNNNNNNNNNNNNNNNNNNNNNNNNNNNNNNNNNNNNNNNNNNNNNNNNNNNNNNNNNNNNNNNNNNNNNNNNNNNNNNNNNAUGAGCUUGUCUGGUAUCAUGAUUGGCAAUGUGAUAUUUUUCAUAUGUUUUAACCAAUUCCUAAUUGGUUAUGGUAUGAGUUUCGUGAUUAGCAUUGUGAUAAUGUGAAUAUUAAUUAUCUACUUAAUACUCAGAUAUCUCUCAAUUUUUUGAUGAGAAAUAUAUCAACAGCAGUAGUAACAAACAAGUAUUAUGAUGUGAUUAAACUGAUCUGGAUGCCUCUAAUCCCUGUUUUGUAAAAAACUGCUCCAUGGUCUACUGAAAUGAUAAAAUUACAUAUUGUUCCCUUCUGCACUUUUCUUCUGUUUCAAAUUUUGAUGCAUGCCUGCUCACCGAUAUUUUUCCUGAUAUACUAGGUUUACACAAACCAAGCAAUGAUCGCUUUUGUGACACAGAUCACCAACCAAUAUGCUAGGAACAUACUAGGAACUUUCUACUGAGCUGCCUCAUCAGCCCAAAGAUCUUACAGAUCGGAAAAGAUUUUGUAGGGGUUCACGAGCUAAUUGGCAUGAAGAAACGGUUGGAAAAGGGAAAACACCGGUGAAGUUAGGAACAUGCCAUUAGGAGGGGUAAGCCCAAAGUUGUAGGUCCAGUCUCGAUUUUUCUAAGAGUACUGACGGAAGGGGGCAAGAAAUGCUUGCUUAAUCUGUGAAGAAAUGUUAACUUAAACUCGAGGGGAGGGUGAAUUCUGCUGCUGGCCAGAUGAGAAGUGCACUCCAGCCAAAGAUUCAUUGUGCUCACCAGCAUUGCUCUUUUGGCCAUCAAGAACUGUUGCAUACUCUGCGGGAUCAAUGACCUCAAAAUAUAUGUUCAAGUUUUUUGCUUGAUCCUCAAAGUUUUCUUUGCUUUCCCAAAGCAAUUGGUAAUCACUUUCAAGAAGCAGUUCAAGGUCAGCCUCCUGGUCCUUCACUAGCUUCACAGGAUCGAGUACAAUGCCAUUCUGAGCCUCUUGACCAUUCCCCUCCUUGCCUAUUUUGUUCUUCACCAUGCUCUUCUUUCUUUUCUCUUCAGAUUGCACGGGAUGUUGAGGCCCAGUGCUUGCAGUAUAGUGCAGAGACUGAGCAAGUGGAGAACCAAAAUUCUUUCUGUUUCCAGCUACAUUUCUUGUCAUAAAUGCAUUUGCACCAGGAUCAGACAAAGCAUCUGGUGAACUUAACCGGAACUGGAUAGAAUCUAUUGGGCUUCGCACCAUGAACUUUUCCUGAACACCACAGAAAUAUAAUAACACUAUUAAGGUUUGAGAAAGUCAUGGAAUCAGGUUCACACCAAGUUGAUAAAAUUAUUUACUGACCUCAUCAAAAAACCCGUGCCUGGGUGAUGGCUUGCGGAGGCCUGAAGGCUUGGAACUUGUUGGUGUUCCUCCAAAUGAUGAAAAUGAUUUACUGACAUCGUCAAAAAACCCAUGCCUAGGUGAUGGCAUGCGGAGGCCUGAAGUCUUGGAACUGCCUGGUGUUCCUACUUGAUUUUUGGGAAUUUUUAGGUCCUCCGGGAUUCUUGUUAAUAAUUAUUUUGUGAUUAGCUGAAUACUUUAUCACUUUACUACUUUGUAAUGUAAUAAUUGUUUUGAUAAAUAAUUAUGAUAUAAAUUGUUAAGGAUUAACACUCACUUUAAAAUUUCCUCUUAAUUCAAAACCAUCAAUGUUGUGAUUCUUGUACAUCAGUUCUGAUACCACUUGUUAGUCAACAACGCUUAUUAACUCCAUAUUAGUAUGAUAUUGUUUUAUGACGGCUUAUAUUGAGAAAAAUCUUUAUUUUUACUAUACGAGACUUGGGUUGACACUCCUUCUAAAAAUGGAGAGAGGAGUGGCACUGCCUUGCCCGCAUGGUUGGGAAAGCCGACAAAAGUAGGCGGGCAUCAACUGAGCAAGGUGCUGAACAUAUUUCAACAGUGACAUGUUUGCAAUAUGUAGGACUAUUUGCAGUUAGAUUUUCUCACUGUGAAAAUGAAAGCCUUUAAAUGGUCAGACCUUUUGGGAUAAUCAUUAACAAAUCAUAUGGCUCUUGAAAAUUGCGGCUGUACUGCAUCAUUAUUAAUAUUAUUAUUAUAUAUUUUAAAAAAUAUAUAAAAAAUAAUAGAAGUACACAUAUUUUUAGAUAUAUUUAAAUUUAUGUAUUCUUAAGUUAAAAUAUAAAUUUAAUAUUCUUAUAAAUGAGCAAAGUUUAAGAAUAAUAAUUUUAAAUAUGUGUCGGUACUCUUAGAAAAAUUAUCAAAAAUUAAAACGUAAAUUACUUAAAAAUUGGGCGAGUACAGGACAGUAUUAAUGUUGUAAUAAUCUAUUUCGGAUUCAAAUAAUGUGAAGUCUAAACUUUAAAAUGCUAAUAGAAAUGACGAGAUCUCAAAAACAAACAGUAGAAAUUUCUUUAUUUAUUUACAGGAUAAUAUAUUUUAUUUUACAGCAUUUGUUUUCCGAAUAAUAUUAUUCUGAAGUCAAACGAACACAAUAAAAAGUUAUGAGAUCUACUAUUUUUGAUAAUAUUAUUAGAUUUUUAAAGUUUUAUCAACUAUUUUUUAUUUUAUUCAUUUUAAAUAUAAAUAAAUGAUAAAUAACUUUUUAAAAAUCUAAAAAUAUCAUCUACUAGAAAUCAAAUCUUACACAAAAAUACGCCGAGGGUUGCACAAAAGUUAGGGUUCUCGGAGAAGAAGCGAGCCUUUCAGGCUUUUUCCAGGCUGAGCUCCGGAAGAUAAAGUCCUCAAAAGGUAAGUGAAGCUCCAAAAAUCUCUCCGCAAUCAAAUUUCGAAUAAGACUCGUACUACUUGUCAGAUUUCAAAAAACAAGACGAGUCAGAUAACCUUGUUUCACAGUCAUUCACCGGUUCUUAAAAAGCACACAAUUAUGCCUGAAAGUUAGUUAAAUUAUCAUCUCGUAGGAUCCGAUAUGUUGAUCACACUUGAGUUAAAUUAUCAGAAGAUUCCUAAUCAACAUUAUCCUAAAUACCUGUUUUUCGAGAUGAUUGUGCAAUGUGAAGAAUACUGCAGGCCAAAUUAUCCUCCGGGCUUGAUUGACGAGUGUGCCUGGCGUGCAUUAUCGUAUGGUUUAAUCUGUGUGUCGACUAUGCUUUUUAAGUUUAGUGAUUCUACUAAGGAGAUAUAAUUGUGUAAUCUCUUCCCGAUUCUCCUCUUUCAAAUGGGUCCGGGUCCCUGGCAUAUAAUUGCCGGGGUUAUAUGCCGGGGACUGUUUAAUUAACCUAUAGUUUCUGGGCCGUUGAAUGAAUAUCCAGCGGUCAGGAUAAUAAUAAAACUUUAACAUGUUCAGCGCUUUUAAUAUAAUCCUGACCGCUGGAUAUUCAUCCAACGGCCCAGAACCUGUGUGUUCCUUAACUCCUCCACAGCCAUUAACAUUAAUGGCUGUGGAUCGCUACCCCUUUCAAAUAUAGAGACUCAGUGGAACGCUUUAGCGUUUGGGUUUGUGCCAGAAAUUAGUGAUUAUGUUGUGGUACAUAUUGUCAAACGUUGUUUGCAUUUGGGACGCGGUGAACCUGAUCCCCACUCAGUCAUCAUUGGUAUUUAUAGUCUAAACACUAAUUCUUGGAAGAAAAUAUGCCAAGAUAAGGUUUUUGUUUGUAACAUUAACUGGUUUGACGUUGUUUUCACUAAUGGUGCUGCAUUUUGGGCAGGGGUUCGUUUAAACAAGCAUAAAAUACUUUUGUGCUACGAUACCAAGACUGACAAACUUCGUCAAAUCUCAUUCCCUAACUGGAUUUUACAUAUUCCUGGUAUUCCUUUUAUUCAUCUACUUGGUCAAUCUAUUGCUUAUUUUGUUUGGGACAAUCAAUAUGAUUAUUUUGAUAUGUGGGUAAUAAAAUACUAUUCCAUAAAUGAGUUUUCUUGGGAGAAGAAGAUGAGUAUUCAUCCAAAUAAAGAUAUACGUGUGGAAGUCAUGGGUGUAAGGAACAAUGGUGAACCAAUUCUUGCAAGAUCAUAUAACUUGAUUUCAUAUAGUCUUGAUAACCACUUGGCAAAGAAUUUUGUUCAUUCAUGGGAUAGUUGGACUCCUUAUCCAUAUUAUGAGGAAGACUUUGCACCACCCUUUUUCAUUACGCCUUUUGUGGAGAGUCUCGUGUUACUUAAUAUUGAUUGAUGUGAUAGAACAAAAUAUCGAGUUGGAAACUUUCUUAGUGAAUGUCGAUUCCCAUGGAAAAUAACUUAUCAAUGUUGUGGAUUAUAUUUUUUAGAUUGUUUGUUAAAGUCUAUUAUUGUAGGCUUGGGGUUUACUGUUGUGUUAGGUUUGUGAGUGAUUAAUAGUUACUGUUAUUACCAAGGUUAUCAAUAUUUGUUUUAUGGUUUUUUGUUCUGUUAUUGAUCAACAGGUGGGACAAUGAUUGUCAUCUGUAAUUGAACAAGGAAAAUCGCCAUUGUAUAUAGCUGUUGAAGCUGGCAAAAUUGAGUAACAUGUAAUUUUUGAAUGAUGUUAAAUUGAGUCGAUCAGUGUUGGCUAAGAUAUGCAUUUCCUCGGGAAUGAAAAAGCCGCAAAGAGCUAAAGAUAGACUGGUCCAGUGUGGCCACACUAGGCCCAUUGGGUCGGGGAUCAUAAUUUUUAGCUUAUGUAGCAAAUGAGCUUGGACGGCUGAGAUGAAAGCCUGAAACGACGAAUGCUAGCGAUUGAGCUUGGACGGCUGAGAUGAAAGCCUGAAACGACAAAUGCUAGCGAUUGGAAUAAAUGAAAUCACAAUCCGAAUAAAGCCAAGAUACCCAAUCAGACUGUGCCACGUGCCCUUGUUUUAUGAGUAUAUAUAUUUCCCAAGUAGAGAGACUAACCCUCGAUCUAUACACGCCUCCCCGUCCACAGUUCUUCACUCUUCCUUAUCUGCAAAUCGCCCAUCUGCCCCGUUUCAGCUAAGGGCUGCCUACUCUAUUCUGAGUGAAUGGGUAUGUUCACUUCCUUAAAAAUCUUAUUCUUUUAUAAUCUUGCGCACACAUAAUCACAGUCUGUAUAUACAGUUACUAUAAAUCAAAGCAAUAAGUUAUAGAUAUGAUUUUUUUGUUCAGCUAAUUAGUUGCAAGUCAAUACAUAAUUUAUUUAUUUUUGCUAAUUGUCCUGUUUUACAUUUUAGGAAUUUCUGUUAUGCUCGAGUGCAUUCUUUAAUUCUUAAAUAAAGAUGUUCGUGGGUGCUUGAUUUCAGAUUAUAAGGUUUCAAUGGUGCCCUGGGCUUUUCUGUUUUGAGUAAUUAUACACAGAGAUAGUAGCUAUAACAUAUAACAAAAAACACGCUAUUUAAGAAUGUAGAAAUGUUUCGCUAUGUAUAUGACUUGGUUCCAUGUACUAAACUGGUAUCCCCUGUCUUUAACUAUAUAAUAACAUAUUUCUGCUUUCUCUUGACAGAUUUAGGUUGCAACGGUACGUCUCAGCCAGCUGGGGUUUUAUUUUUCACCUCUACCAAGGGCUAUGCUAGCAAAAUUAAAGCAAAAAUGAACAACAAACCCAAAGAAAGAAAGUGUAUACAACUGAUGUCAGUAGUGUGCAAUCAUUGUAUCAGGUAGGUGCAAUUAUUGUGAAACAACAUAUUAUCGCAAUUAUGGAAACAAUGACAUUGCUUCUGUCAACAAUUCCUACCUUAUUCUCAUAGCAAACACUAUUAGGGAUGAGAAUCUGCCACUAGGGUAGCCCUGGUUCCCUCCUGCACUUUUCUUCUGUUUUAAAUUUUGAUGUGCUUGCUCACCGAUAUUUUUCCUGAUAUACUAGGUGUAUACAAGCCAAGCAAUGAUCGCUUUUGUGACACAGAUCACCAACCAAUAUGCUAGGAACAUACUAGGACUGAACUUUGGAGGAAUACAGGCUUACUGACACUGAAGUCUGACUGGGCAUGUUUGAAAGGAAGGCUGCCAGUUUAAGCUCGUGUGAAGCUUAAAAGUAUUAUUCAUGCCGACUCUGACGUAUCAGGAAGAGCAAUCCUCUGGUCGGGCCUUUCAGAAAUUCAAAGAAAUUGAAUCCUGCUAGAUCUGGCAAUCAAUGCAAAAAGUCAAAGGUUUUAUAUUUCACUUCCACAAAAUUGUUACUUCAGUAGUUCGGUGUCUUGGAGAGAGCAGGAAUCCUUCAUUCACCCGCCGCACGGCACCGUGUACUCAAUUCCUGGGACUCUUAGAUGAUUCCAGAUUCUUAGGAUUUUUGUUGAUAAUUAAUUUUGUAAUUAGUUGCAUUCUUUUUCACUAUACUACUUUAUAAUGUAAUAAUUGUUUAUCAAAUAAAUAUAAUGUACUCCCUCUGUCCUUCCCAUUUUUUUACGGUUUUUUUGCACUGCUCGAUACGCAUUUUAACGCGCAUAUAAAACAUAGUUGUAUAACUUACUUUUGAAUAUUUUCUUUUUUGUGUAAAAUUGUAAACAUCAUAUUUUUAUUCAGAAGAAAAAAAAGUUCAAAAUAAUUUAUCAAAUUAUAUUUUAUGAGAGUAUUAGAAUGUAUGUCGAACCCCCGUCCCUCAAAGUAAACAAAUGAGGGGGACGGAGGGAGUAAAUGUUAAAGAUAAUUAAGAUUAUUUAGUUUAAAUAUAAAUGCAACUCUUAAAAUACAUGUGUAAUUUAUAUUUUUAAUGUAUGUUUGUCAAACCCCGCACCUAAAUCCUCAUAUAUUCCAAUUUGUCUAAUUUCUGUAUCCCCACACUCGCACUCGCACUCAUGCUUGCUAAUUUCAUAUUGUUCUGUAAAUGUCUCAAAUUCUCUGCUUUCUUUUCUCUAAACCUAAAUAGAUGGUAAACUUUAUAUUUGUGUCAUUACUCUUCGUCUCCUUGAUGAUUGUUCGGAUUCCCAAUUCGCCCAUAUGAUAUGCAAAUAGUCCACGUAAACGAUUUGUGCAUCUCAGAUUUCACAUUUUACUCCAGAAACAGCUGUCAUAUGCAAUUCCCCUUGCAUCCACUGAGGUCAUCAGAGGAACAAAUGGUCACUUGCGAAGGAAAAUAAACAAAGAACUGUGUGCAAAUUGUCUGUCUCCCAUGUCAUAAGUUGUUCAAAAUUUUAAUUUAAUCUACAAUAGCUUCGUGUAUUAAGAAAUUUGACGGUAAUUUAAAAGCAAUUAACGCUAAAAAUAAACUUGACUUGAUACGUAGUAUGAGGUCUAUAAUUACUGUAUCAAAAGGAAAAUUAUCUCCGGGACAUAGUUCAGUUCAUUACAAAAAUGAACCUAUUUUAGUUGCAGUUUUUUCUCUCCUUUCAUGUGAGAACUUUUUGAGUUUUCUCUCCUUUCUGUAGAGUAGAUUGUGAGAGGUGUGGCACCAUGACUAUGGUUAACAACGAUACAGAGAUGCAGUUGGCUGAGACGGACAUUGAGAACGAGAAAAAAGGUGAACUUAUUAUUGACAAGGAUAAUGCUACGUACCCAAAAUCUGUUCUCAAAACUUUUUCCCAAAUGACGUGACAUACAAGUAACUAAUUUUAAUUAGGUGAUUGAUGUGCAUACAGUGGAUCCCAUUAUUAUUAGUAUGAGAGUAACCAAUCAUACAUCACCAAUUGGAUUCGGGAAAAAAAAUUGGGAACAUUUUUGGGGUGCCUAGCAUAUUCCUAUUGACAAAGGGGUGGAGGAUGAGGUUAACAGGUUUGAACUCUUAUCUGGUGGGAACAUUUUUAACAGAGAAGAACAUCAAUGCGAGGGCAAUGAAAUCAAAAAUGGCUGACAUAUGAAAAUCUGUUGCGUAACAGACUUAACCUAUAUUUGCUGUUUUCUGUUUUGGUGCAAAUGCACAAUUUAUCGACUACAAAUCCAAUAUCAUACUCAAAAUUAAGAUAUCAGAAUCCUUACUACAAGAUGUAUGCAUUUUUUAUCACUUGAUCUUGGCCGGAGAAUCGAGAAACAUGCCAUCCAAAGAUUUAAGGAGCAAUGCAAGGGGUAAACAGUAAACUGAAACAGUGGGAAUUAUUUUUAUCUUGUGAAAUUUGAUGGAAUGGAAUUUAGAAGAGACGAAGAGAGUCUCUGGACCUCUAAAUACUCACACACAUCAACAAGCUUAUACUGAAGAUCAAUCUUUUUUUAUCUUUAGGAUGUGGGACCUAGAUUAACACUCACUUUACAAUCUCUUCUUAAUCCAAAAACCACCAAUAUUGUAAUCCUUGUACCGUCAUUGUUCAUCUGCUACUACUCUCACCAUACAAUAGAAGCUCGUAAUCCCAAAAUCAAUAUUUAACCAUCAGUUCUGAUACCACUUGUUGGUCGACCAAUAUUUAUUAACUUCACAUGAGUAUGAUAUUGUUCGGUGGCUGUUUAUAUUCAUAAAUCUUUAUUUUUACGAUAUGAUACUUGGAUUGACACCCACUCUACAAUCUUUUCGGCAAAAUUAUGGAGAGAGGAGUGGCACUGCCUUGGCAUUGCCUUGCCCACAUGGUUGGGAAAGCCCACAAAAGUAGGCGGGAAUCAACUGAGCAAGGUGCUGAACAUAUUUCAACAGUGACAUGUUUGCAAUAUGUAUGACAAUUUGCAGUUAGAUUUUCUCACUGUGAAAAUGAAAGCUGAGAAUCAAAUCAUUUGUUCAUCCGAUUGCUUUGUCUUUUCCUUUAAAUGGUCAGACCUUUUGGGAUGAUCAUUAACAAAUCAUAUGGCUCUUGAAAAUUGCGGCUGUACUGCAUCAUUAUUAAUAUUAUUAUAUAUUUUAAGAAAUAUAAAAAUAAUAGACGUACACAUGUUUUUAGAUAUAGUUAUAUUUAUAUUUUUUUAAGUUAGAAUAUAAAUUUAAUAUUCUUAUAAAUAAGCGAAGUUUAAAAACAAUAAUUUUUAGUAUGUAUCAAUACUCUUAAAAAAUUAUCAAAAAUUAAAACGUAAAUUACUUAAAAACUAGGCGAGUACAGGACAGUAUUGAUGUUUUAAUAAUCUAUUUGGAUUCAGACAUACUAAAGUCUAAACUCUAAAAUGCUAAUAGAAAUUACGAGAUCUUAAAUACUGGAAAAUAUUUUUCUAACAAAUAUUUUUUAUUUUACAGCAUUUGUUUUCCGGAUAAUAUUUUUCUAAAGUCAAACAAACACAUAAUAAAAGGAAGAAAUUCUGAACGCAUUUCUCUAAAAAUUAUACUUUAUAAAAAAAAUCCGAAAAUCAAUCUAAUUUCCUUGCAGAUCUGAGAAAUCAUAGGGCGUUUUUACGUGGGCCUGCUGUAAUAAGAAAAGUACAGAACACAACAAAAUUUGUUUGGAGCUAAAUAGAAGGCGCAUGGGCCAAGUUGCAGUAUAGGGUGGGCUUCAUUUGUAGGGUAAAGCCCACAAAACUUGCAAAAUGUGGUUGCAUUUGUUGACAUUACUAUAUACUAUAUACAUCCAAAUGGACUGGAUCCGAUUAUGAUUUUAAACUUUGAUAGACACCUAUAUACUAUAUACAUAAAUAAAUAUGAUGGAUCAAAAAAUGUUAGCAGUACUUUUUUUUUUUUUUGAACAAAAAUGUUAGCAGUACUUAAAAUUUAAGUAUAACAAUAUAUUAGCAGAAUAUUUUAUGGUCUAUUAUCCAUCAAAUAAAUGAAUCUUAAGAUUUAAAACUCCAAAUGAUAAAUGAUACUCCCUCCGUCUCAAUAUAUAAGUCCGUUUUAAUUUUUGACUAAUCAAAUUAAUUAUAUUUUGACAGGAAUUUAUAGAUAUAUAAUUGAAAAAAAAUUAAAAAAAUAUCAGCAAAAGGUAAAUCAAAUCUAUUUUAAUAUGUAACUUUUUAUUUUGUAAAACAACAAAUAAAUUAGUUAAUUUGGCUUUUGGAAAAACAAAAAUGACCUAUAAAUUGAGACGGAGGGAGUAUGAGAUAAAAUAAUUUAUAUAUACAUAUACAAAUUGGAUAGAAAAAAUAAAUAGCUAUCCAUGUUUUUGAAAAAAAGAAAAUAUUUUACAGCUUUGUCGGACCUCAUCAAAAAUAUUAUAUUUUUAUGCUAUACUUCAAAAUAAACAAAUACAAAAAAAUUAUUACACAGUUAUUUAAUCUCUACACCAAAAUUUUUAGAUAUAAUCUCAAAAAGACCCGAUGUUAAUUACCGUGAAAGAUUGCCGGCAAUAGACUGCUAGAUACCGGGACCCAAACUGGAAAUUUGCCCAAUAGCUUGCACAAAGGUUAGGGUUUAUAAGGCCUGACAAAUAUGCUCACGAUUGAUACUACUACGAAGAAGAAGGUGAGGCUAUCAGGCUUUUUCCAGGCUCAGCUCCGGAAGCUAAAGUCCUCAAAAGGUAAGUCAAGCUCCAAAAAACCUACCACAAUCAAAUUUCGAAUACGAUUAGUACCCCGAUUGUUAAAAACCCCAGAAUUAUGCCUGAAAUUCAGUUAAGUAUGCGGAGUAUUUGCGACUUACCUGAAGAAUGCUAUCAGAAAUACUCAAACUACUUCCUGUAAAAUAUAUAUAUUGCGGUGCAGGUACGUCCAGAAGCUGUGGUAUUAUCUCGUGAAUUCCUUUCUCUGCAGUAGAAACUCUUAAUUUAUGUUAUUUAUCUCUGCUUAAUAUCUUCAAUUUUAAACUAACAUUGGGCCCUAAGUAAUCUGAUUGGUUUCCCUACUUUUUCUUGCUAAGCAACCGGGCCCCUUUUCUCCAGCAAUGUACAUAAUUUUCUGAGGGUUAUGAAUUCAUUCCCUUGUUGAGUUUGUCCAAAUGGACAUAUAGAGCCUCAAAGAAACUUUCGGUACAUUUGUUCGAAUGUCCACCCCUUUCAGAAAAGUGACUAGAUAGUGUAUAAGGUAUGUUGUGUUCAUAUGUACUCCUAGAUUUUGGGCAAUCCAUGUAUCAAUUAAGCUUUAUUUUUGAAUGAUGUUAUUGAGUCGAUCAGUGUUGGCCCUGGUCCAGUGCGGCCACACUAGGCCCAUUGGGUCGGGGAUCAUAAUUUUUAGCUUAUCUAGCGAAUGAGCUUGGACGGCUGAGAUGAAAGCCUGAAACGACGAAUGCUGGCGCGAUUGAGCUUGGACGGCUGAGAUGAAAGCCUGAAACGAUGAAUGCUAGCGAUUGAGAUUGGACGGUUGAGAUGAAAGCCUGAAACGACGAAUGCUAGCGAUCAGAUUAAAUGUAAUCACAAUCCGAGUGAAGCCAAGAUACCCAUUCAGACUGUGCCACGUGCCCUUGUAUUACGAGUAUAUAUAUUUCGCAAGUAGAGAGCCCUCGAUCUAUACACGCUUCCCCGUCCACAGUUCUUCACUCUUUCUUCUCUGUAAAUAGCGCAUCUGCCCUGUUUCAGCCAAGGGUUGCCUACUCUAUUCUGAGUGAAUGAGUAUAUUCACUUCCUUAAAAAAUUUUUGUAUGUUCUUGUAGAUUAGCCAAUGCCUAAUUGGUUAUGGUAUGAGUUAGUCUACUUUCAUGAUUGGCAAUGUGAUAAUGUGAAAAUUAAUUAUCUACUUAAUUCUCAGAUUUCUUUCAAAUUUUCUAACGAGAAAUAUAUCAACAGCAGUAAUAACAAAGAAGUUUUAUUUUAUAAUGUGGUUAAACUGAUAUGGGUGCCUCUAGUCUUCUGUUUUGUAAAAAACUGCUACGGAAAUGAUAAAAUUACAUAUUGUUCCCUUCUGCACUUUUCUUCUGUUUUGAAUUUUGAUGCAUGCCUGCUAACUGAUAUUUUUCCUGAUAUACUAGGCGUAUACAAACCAAGCAAUGAUCGCUUUUGUGACACAGAUCACCAACCAAUAUGCUAGGAACAUACUAGGACUGAACUUUGGAGGAAUACAGGCUUACUGACACUGAAGUCCACCUGGGUAUGUUUGGAAGGAAGGCUGCCAGUUUAAGCUCGUGUGAAGCUUAAAAGUAUUAUUCAUGCGGACUCUGACAUACGAGGAAAAUCAAUCCUCUGGUCGGGCCUUCCAGGAAUUGAAUCCUGCUAGAUCUGGCAAUCAAUGCAAAAAGUCAAAGGUUUAUAUUUCACUUCCACAACAUUGUUACUUCUGUGGUUCAGUGUUUUCGAGAAAGCAGGAAUUCUUCAUUCACCCACCACACCGCACCGUGUACUCGAUUCCUGGGAUUCUUAGGUGCUUCAAGAUUCUUAGGGAUUUCUGUUAAUAAUUAAUUUUGUAAUUAGUUGCAUUCUUUAUCACUUUACUACUUUAUGAUGUAAUAAUUGUGUUAUCAAAUAAUUUUAAUGUAAAUUGUUAAAGAUAAUGAACUUAAUUAUUUGAUUAUUUGGUUUAAAUAUAAAUGCAACUUUUAAAAUACAUAUAUAAUAUAUAUCUUUAAUAUAUUAAUAUUUGUCGAAUCCCCCGCACCCGAAUCCCUGUAUAUUUGAAUUUGCUGAAUUCCCCCACCCACACCGGCACCCACACUCAUGCUUCCUAGCUUAAUGUGUUCUGUAAAUGUCUCUAGUUUUCUGCUUACUUUUCUCUUAGCCUAAAUGGUAAAGAAUCAGUUUAUAUUUGUGUCAUUACUCUUUGUCUCUUUGAUAAUUGUUCCGAUUCCCAAUUCGCCCAUAUGAUAUGCAAAUAGUCUUGUUGGCCUACAACUGUAGAUUAAAUUUAUGUUAAUGGAUGAUUGAGGCCUUAACAUAACAUGAUAUGCACUUAUGCUCAAUUUGAAAGGGGUUUCUGAUUUAAUCAUAUAUAGACCACAGAUGCAUGUCGCCUUACCCUGAAAUCAUAAAUGUCCAGGAUAUCUGAUAUCCUUAGUCCAGACAUUAUGACUAGACUGUAUGGUUUUGUUCAAAAACCAGAGAUGAACAACCGAGUGAAAAUUAGCAGUGUUUCUUGAAGUUAUCUUUUAAUCGUCAUAUUCUUUUUAGUGGUGUACAAAAAACCCAUUUCUCAGCUUGAUUGCACAGAUGUUGUGCUUCUACAUAUACUUUUUUUUUGUCAGUUAAAGUAACUUAUGGACUGGCUGAUGUGUUUCAGUUUGUAUUUCAGAGUUCAAAUAUGUUUUGACUCCAGUAAAGGAACAUUGUCAAUAAGGCAGACUUCAUCUGUCAAAGAUAUUGAAACUUCUCGUGCUAAGAACAAAAAGAAAAUGAGAGAAAUAGCAAGUGCAUCUCAGAUGUCAGGGCGUAGCCGAACUUAUGAUAUUCUACGUAAACUCAUAUUCCCUUAAGUUUCAUAUUUUGCUUUGCUGCUUUCCUAUUUUGUAAUCAUUUCUCUCUCUGAUUCACAUCUUUGUAAAUAAAUCUACUUGUCGGAUUGGUUUGCUGCUUACAAUUUCACAACUUACUCCAGAAACAGCUGACAUAUGCAACUCCCCUUGCAUCCACUGAGGUCAUCAGAGGAACAAAUGGCCACUUACGAAGGAAAAUAUAAAAGAACUGUGCAAAUUGUCAGUCUCCCAUGUCAGGCAAGAGCAUGGCCCUAAAGAGCUUGCUUUUCUUCUCAUUAUUUUGCACAAGAUAUUUCAGUUUGAUAUAUAGAGCCUGUUUAAAUUAGCUAAUUUAAACUAGGUACUUUCUGAGGAAAGCACUUUUGGUAUAAAACUAAUUAAAAUAAACAGAAGCAUUGAUUGAAUAGGGAUUUUCUUCAAUUAUUGUCAUAAGAAUUGAAGAUGUUGGAUGCUUCAGUUUAGACUUGACAAAAUUGUCGCCACAGUAUAAAUUUGUUUUCAUAAAUUGCUUUUAAUGAAGUCAACUUACAAUAUUAACUGAAAGGCAUUUCUAUGAUGCAGGUGUUGAGCUUGCUAAAGAUGCUAAACGACAGAAUCUGGAUGAUGGUUCUUUUUCCACUGUUUUGGAGUUCUAUAUUAAAUUUGCACCUGAGGACUCUGAGGAACCUCUUCCUACUGAUCCUGCUACGACUGCUUCCUGGAUGUAAGUAGGUUUAUCAUAUUUCACUAAAAAAAAAUCAGCUAAAUAAUUUUAUACUCCCUCCGUCCCUUCCAUUUCUUAACAGUUUUUUCAUUACUUGACACGCAUUUUAAGACGUACAUAAAAUAUAGCUCCAUAACUAUUUUGAAUUUUUUUUUUGUGAAUAAGAAUUUGAACAUUAAAAUUUUAUUUCGAAAGAAAAAAUAUUAAAAUAAUAUAUGAAAAUAUAAUUAUUUUUUUUUUAACGUAGGAACCCGCAGCCGCUACCCUUCGGGUGCGCACUGGAUAAACCCACGAGCUCUCUUUCCCAAAUGUUAACAACCUAGAGGGACUGAGGGAGUAAUAAUUUAAUUAUUAAACUAGACAACCAGAAUAUUAUUAUUGUUUCUUGCGAUUGUACUAAUGUUUAAUUGUAUUAAUUUGUAUAAGAAGUCAGAUAUAUGCAAUUUUACUAUAAAAAUGUGGUUUCAAGGUGUUUGCAUAGGUCGAUUUAGUAGAGCUGUAAGAACGAUUGGAGGGGCCUUGCUUUAUUGAAAAAAUUAUUGAUCUUAUGUUGCAAUCGAGUUUGAGCUUUUUUUUUUAAAAAAAAGUUUUGCUAAAGCAUUUUUACUUUAAGCAGAUCAAUAUAUAUAUAUAUAUAUAUAUAUAUAUAUAUAUGGGUCAUGUUCAAGAGACAAUCAUUAGAGAGAGAACCAUAGAACCCUUACCUUAUUUCUAGUAUUAGGUAGGGUUCUGCAGCAGAACUUAAGUAUUAGUUAGGGUUCUGCAGCAGAACUUCACAUGCAAAAAAAUGUUAAUAUCUAUGUAAUAUAUUUUAAAAUUAUUUUUGAACACACACAACGAUGAAAAAUCAUGAGCGCAACCCAUAUAUAUAUAUAUAUAUAUAUAUAUGUAUGUAUUUAUAUAUAUUUAUGCUAUCAACUUUUAUUUUUUGCUUUUCGUUUUAACAUUUUUUAGGGACCACAGAAAUUCUAACAUUGGUCCCUAUGAAAUCUGAUUGCCUUCCCUGGUUGUUCCCUUAAUAAUACUAUGUAACAUGUUUUCCUAGCGAAUAUUAGUUUAGUAUGCUAUUUUUGAAAUUGUGAAAUAUAUAUAUAGAAACUAAACCCUUCUUCUUUGACAACUUGCCAAAUCUCUGAGAAAUAGGGUAUAGUAUAUUGACGUCUAGGAGUUUAAUUUUUGUAGGAUAGUAGAUUUGGUAAUCGUUGCCUUCAACUUUUCCUUACAGAUGCCCAUUAUGAAACUGGUCAAGUGAUCCUUACUACAUGUCUCUCUCAACAAAGUAGGGCAUUUCACAUUAAAAGAGGGAAGAGUGGAGAUAUAGCACGAGGAAAGCGCAUUCAGAGUUUCAAAAGCCCGUGCUUACCAAAUAUCACCUUUUCUUUUGUUCUAAGAAGUUGAUUGAUCAUGUUCACUUAUCUAUACAUCAUACAUUGAGCAUUUUCAGUAAUACUGAGUAAAUUAUUGAUCUGUGAUUUUUUAUAUUUCUUUUGCCCUGCGCCUUUUCUUGCUAUGCGAUAUGGCCCCCUUUUUCCAGUAGUGUACGUACUUUUAUAGGGUUGCACAUUGGCCUUUUUAAGUUUGUCCAAAUGAACAUAUAAAGCCUCAAAGAAAUUUUCGGUGACUCUGUUCCCCUCAAGUUUGUUUUUUCUACAUCCCUGCCCUGUACGGGAUGCAGUACUAUAACUCCAACAUUAUUGAUAUUUCAUGACUCAUGAGUGUCGUCAACAUCAGGAACGACAGCAUCCAUUAUGCUGUCAUUGAGCUGUUUAGAAUCCAUAAUUCUUCCGUUCUUUUCUUUUGCAAAUACGGCAUAGUUUUUUGGUGUCACAAAUUGGAGUCUGCUUGAUGGACAUAUGUGGCAUAUGUUUCUAAAGCUCAUAUCAUGAUAUGCCAGAUAUUCCCAGGUUAACACCCAAGUGUUGAUGCUGCAUAAUUACUGAGAUAUUAUCUUGUUAAUACUUGCACAUGUCAAAUGUUACUUGACCCUUGUGCAUGUUCUUGGGUAUCACGACUUUUUAUCAUAUUAUUACACUUGAGUAUUAGAAAUCUAUAAAUGGAUAUAUCCUCCAAACAUAUUUGAAGGCUUUUUACAUCUCUUGCCCUUCACCAGGACCAUAUUUACGUUACACUGCCACUGAUACCACGCGUCCACUUCCUGUAAGCUUUCCUCACGUGCUCCUGUCUUCUAUUUUUUUAAACUGUUGCAAAUUGUCGCGCUGUCUAUUCUAAUUUGAGGCUCUGUCUAUGUAAUAUGUAUAUACUACUCCCUCUGUUUCAAAUUACAUGUCCACUUUAAAAAAAUCACAUAGUUUAAGAAAAGUUGAUUUUGGCAAAAAAGAGGUGUAAUAAGUCAUUAAUUGAACCUAAUGUGUGGUGUAUGGUUGAUCUUGGAAAUAUAAAUUUGAAAUAUGUGGAGGAGAGUUGAUUUUGGAAAUAUAACUUUACAUUGAAAGUUGAAGUGGACAAGUAUUUUGAAACAAUUUUUUUUUUCUAAAGUGGACAUGUAUUUUGAAACGGAGGUACUAUAUCUAUCUGAAGAAAUUUUUAGACCAUCUUAUCUAAUAUUGUAUAAUAUGGAAUCUUUGUACUACACCCUCUGUUCUCAAAUAAAUGACGUUUAACUUUUUGGGAUACAAUUUUAAGAGCAUUGAUCAUAUAUCUAAACUAAUUAUUUUUAAAAUAAAAAUAUAAAACUUAUACUUUAAUUCAUAAAAAGAAAAUUUGAAAAUAAUAAUUUUAGCUGAUACAAAUAGUCAAGCGUCAUUUUUUUGAAAACAGAAGGAGUAACAGUUAUACACGUUACCGGGGUUUGAUAACCCUAAUUAAUGUAUUCUUUGUUCCGUUUCAUAAUUUGGCCCGGGAGCUGUUCGUGCUGAUGCGCAUGACCGUCAUAACUUCAUCCCUGUGUGUUGGUGAUUAGUUUUGUUUUCUUUACACUCCAGCAAUAUUCAUAUUUCUAACAGAAGUUGUAUAUUAUGUGUUUAUCCUGAUUUUAUUUUUAUAUUUUGAUCUUUAUCUGUCUUGCUUAUGCCUUAUGGUAUUCUUUGACCAGAAUUAUUUUUUUUUUAUCCAUGUUACAUAUCCUCUUGAUGUGGUUUGAACUUGUCUUCCUUUUGACCUUAUGAUUAUUACAUCAUAGUCUCUAAGAAUGUUUUAUAAUUAACCAUUUCGCAAUGAAUUCUUAAAUUUCUUUUAGGUUCUUCAAAGAAUGGGACUCAUGGUAAGAAUUAUGGAUUAGCUGCUGGAUGUUCUCACUGUUGGGAUUAAAGACCGUCGUUCUCCACUUGCCAAUAUUACAAACUUGGUGCAAAGUACUGAUAAGGGCCUAUCAAGUUCUUUAAGAAAGAAGGUAUGACUUAUGCCGUAUGCAACUACCGCUCUUUGACCUUCAAUCUAAAACACUAUGUGUAUAGUGUUAAUGUGCCCCUUAAAAUGUUGUUAGGUUAAUGUUAACAGAGAGGGCCUUGGUUUGUAUACUUCAGAGAAUUUACAAGUUGAAUUUGUUCAAUUAUUAAUAUUAAAUUAUUAAUCAAUGUUAACCAAUAUUUAUUUUAUCAUAUUUUUAGAAGUAAUCAAAUAAAGCAACAUUUUUAUAUUUUUCCCUUAAGCUUAUCGAUUUGUUGGCACCGUUAGGAUGACAAGUCCGAUAAAAACUCCUGCUUUUACUAGGACAACCUUUACUGACAAUGCCACACUGCAGGAUAUUUUAAAAAGUAUUCAACAUGAUGUCAAUUGCAAGUGAUUUUGUAUUGACAGUAUUAGUCAAAGGGAACACGUUUUUUGAAUCUAAAUAAUGUAGCACAGACAAAGAAACUGAAGGUCUCACCCACGGAUAUCUCCUUACAGCAAAGUUGUUCGACUCCCUUACAGCCAUUGUUAAACAGAAGCAACACACCUUAUGCUCUGAAAUUUAAGUCUUGAAACACCAUCGGUAUGACUUAUGCCGUAUGCAACUACCGCUCUUUGACCUUCAAUCUACACUAUANAAAACACUAUGUGUAUAGUGUUAAUGUGCCCCUUAAAAUGUUGUUAGGUUAAUGUUAACAGAGAGGGCCUUGGUUUGUAUACUUCAGAGAAUUUACAAGUUGAAUUUGUUCAAUUAUUAAUAUUAAAUUAUUAAUCAAUGUUAACCAAUAUUUAUUUUAUCAUAUUUUUAGAAGUAAUCAAAUAAAGCAACAUUUUUAUAUUUUUCCCUUAAGCUUAUCGAUUUGUUGGCACCGUUAGGAUGACAAGUCCGAUAAAAACUCCUGCUUUUACUAGGACAACCUUUACUGACAAUGCCACACUGCAGGAUAUUUUAAAAAGUAUUCAACAUGAUGUCAAUUGCAAGUGAUUUUGUAUUGACAGUAUUAGUCAAAGGGAACACGUUUUUUGAAUCUAAAUAAUGUAGCACAGACAAAGAAACUGAAGGUCUCACCCACGGAUAUCUCCUUACAGCAAAGUUGUUCGACUCCCUUACAGCCAUUGUUAAACAGAAGCAACACACCUUAUGCUCUGAAAUUUAAGUCUUGAAACACCAUCGAGCCAAGUGCUUUUUACGGAUAAAGAUCAUGGGCCUGACAGACAUGAGAAAAGAACAUUGGAAGAAAUUGGUGUGUUCUGACAGUUUACUUUCNUUCAGAGAAUUUACAAGUUGAAUUUGUUCAAUUAUUAAUAUUAAAUUAUUAAUCAAUGUUAACCAAUAUUUAUUUUAUCAUAUUUUUAGAAGUAAUCAAAUAAAGCAACAUUUUUAUAUUUUUCCCUUAAGCUUAUCGAUUUGUUGGCACCGUUAGGAUGACAAGUCCGAUAAAAACUCCUGCUUUUACUAGGACAACCUUUACUGACAAUGCCACACUGCAGGAUAUUUUAAAAAGUAUUCAACAUGAUGUCAAUUGCAAGUGAUUUUGUAUUGACAGUAUUAGUCAAAGGGAACACGUUUUUUGAAUCUAAAUAAUGUAGCACAGACAAAGAAACUGAAGGUCUCACCCACGGAUAUCUCCUUACAGCAAAGUUGUUCGACUCCCUUACAGCCAUUGUUAAACAGAAGCAACACACCUUAUGCUCUGAAAUUUAAGUCUUGAAACACCAUCGAGCCAAGUGCUUUUUACGGAUAAAGAUCAUGGGCCUGACAGACAUGAGAAAAGAACAUUGGAAGAAAUUGGUGUGUUCUAACAGUUUACUUUCAGAGUAAUCAAUUGCUUGUUAAAAUUUCUUUCAUAUAUUUUUGUUUGAAUGUUCACCCUUCGGAAAAGUGACUAGAUAAUGUAUAAGGUAUGUUUUUUCAUAUUUAAUAUUAGAUUCGACCCAAUCCAUGUAUUGGUUAACCUUUAUUUUUGAAUGACGUUAAUGUGAGUUGAUCAGUGUCGGCCCUGGUCCAGUGCAGCCACACUAGGCCCAUUGGGUCGGGGAUCAUAAUUUUUAGCUGAUGUAGCGAAUGAGCUUGGACGGCUGAGAUGAAAGCCUGAAACAACGAAUGCUAGCGAUUGGAAUAAAUGAAAUCACAAUCCGAGUAAAGCCAAGAUACCCAUUCGGACUGUGCCACGUGCCCUUGUAAUACGAGUAUAUAUAUUUCCCAAGUAGAGAGACUAACCCUCGAUCUAUACACGCCGCCCCGUCUAUAGCUCUCCACUCUUCCUUCUCUGCAAAUCACCCAUCCGCCCUGCUUUCAGCAAAGGGUUGCCGUCUCUAUCCUGAAUAAAUGAGUAUAUUCACUUCCUUAAAAAUCUUAUUCUAAUCUUGCGCACACAUAAUUACAAUCUGUAUAUACUGUUACUAUUAAUCAAAGCAAGAAGUUAUAGAUAAGAUUUAUCUUGUUCAGCUAAUUAGUUGCAAGUCUAAUACAUAAUUGUUCUUUCUGCUAAUUGUCCUGUUUUACAUCUAAGGAAUUUCUGUUAUGCUCGAGGGAAUUAACUCUUAAAUAAAGAUGCUUGUGGGUGCUUGAUUUCAGAUUAUAAGGUGUCAAUAGUGAUUUGGGUUUUGCUGUUUUGAGUAAUAAUUCACAGAGCAUAGUAGCUGUAACACAUUAAGAAAAACACGCUAUUUAAGAAUAUAGAAAUGUUUUGCUAUGCAUAAGACUUUGUUCCAUGUACUAAACUGUUAUCCUGUCUUUAACCAUAUCGUAACAUAUUUCUGCUUUCUUUGGACAGAUUUAGGUUGCAACGAUAUGUCUCAGCCAGCUGAGGUUUCAUUUUUCACCUCUACCAAGGGCUAUGCUACCGAAAUUAAAGCAAAAAUGAACUACAAACCGAAAGAAAGAAAGCGGAUACAAUUGAGGUCAGUAGUGUGUGAUCAUUGUAUCAGGUAGGUGCAAUUAUUGCGAAACAGCAUAUUAUUGCAAUUUUGGAAACAAUGACAUUGCUUCAGUCAACAAUAUAAAAUUCGUUGCUGAAACUGCUACCUUAUUCUCAUAGCAAACACUAUUAGGGAUGAGAAUCUGCUAAUAGGGUAGCCUCGAGUCCUUUUUCCUGUGGAAGUUAAAACAAUAGCUAUAUAUUUGUGAAGAGAUUAUUAAUCAGUUAUGCUUAAAAUUCGAAUUUCAACUCUGCUCAAUCCUGUACACGGCCGAC